rnacentral:rRNA from 1 species
GACAGAGGUCCCGAGCGUUAGGCGGAAUCACUGGGCUUAAAGCGUGUGUAGGCGGAUUUGUAAGUACCUUGUGAAAUCCCACGGCUCAACCGUGGAACUGCUCGGUAUACUGCUUAUCUUGGGCCAUCUAGGGGCUAGCGGAACAAACGGUGGAGCGGUGAAAUGCGUAGAUAUCGUUUGGAACGCCAAUGGUGAAAACAGCUAGCUGGGGAUGUGCCGACGCUGAGACACGAAAGCCAGGGGAGCAAACGGG